rnacentral:rRNA from 1 species
GAGCGGCGGACGGGUGAGUAAUGCCUAUGAAUCUGCCUGGUAGUGGGGGAUAACGUUCGGAAACGGACGCUAAUACCGCAUACGUCCUACGGGAGAAAGCAGGGGACCUUCGGGCCUUGCGCUAUCAGAUGAGCCUAGGUCGGAUUAGCUAGUUGGUGAGGUAAUGGCUCACCAAGGCGACGAUCCGUAACUGGUCUGAGAGGAUGAUCAGUCACACUGGAACUGAGACACGGUCCAAACUCCUACGGGAGGCAGCAGUGGGGAAUAUUGGACAAUGGGCGAAAGCCUGAUCCAGCCAUGCCGCGUGUGUGAAGAAGGUCUUCGGAUUGUAAAGCACUUUAAGUUGGGAGGAAGGGCAUUAACCUAAUACGUUAGUGUUUUGACAUUACCGACAGAAUAAGCACCGGCUAACUCUGUGCCAGCAGCGGAGGUAAUA